AUGUGGCACGGGCUCACAGCGCUGGUCCCGCUGGUGUCGUGGCACGCGAGGCGCGGGUGCUGUCCCGCCCCGGCAAGAUGGGCCCUCUUCCACCAUGGCGAGGUUAGGUCCGGGAUGAGCGGUUGGCUGAUGUCGCUAGUCGAGGCGGCUACCGGCGCGCCGGUGGCCGUGGAGGAGUUUGGCCCCGCCCCGGUGUGCUUCGAGGAGGCCGUGGUGUCCAGGAGAAACCUGGCCGGUAUGAGCACGGAGAGGCUCCUAGAGGCGUUCGACUUCAUCCGGUGCAAGGCCAGGGCAAAGUGCAGCGUCGCCGACGCGCCCGGAGCCGGCAACGAAACUACAAACCUCCGCGUCACCAUUCUCUUCCGCACGGGCGGCCGGUCAUUCAAGGACGAGGCCGGCGUCGAGCGGGUGUUCCGCAAGGAGUGCACGCGCGUGGCCGGGCCAAGCUGCGUGCUGACCAUAGCGCAUUCCGACAACCUGACCUUCUGCGAUCAGGUGCGGCUGCUGAGCAGGACAGACGUGUUCAUCUCGGCGCACGGGGCGCAGGUGACGAACCAGCUGUUCAUGGACCGGAACAGCAGUGUCAUGGAGUUCUACCCGAUGGGGUGGAGGCAGCGGGCGGCGGGCGGGUAG
rnacentral:rRNA from 1 species